GACGAACGCUGGCGGCGUGCUUAACACAUGCAAGUCGGACGGAAAGGCCCUGCUUUUGUGGGGUGCUCGAGUGGCGAACGGGUGAGUAACACGUGAGUAACCUGCCCUUGACUUUGGGAUAACUUCAGGAAACUGGGGCUAAUACCGGAUAGGAGCUCCUGCUGCAUGUUGGGGGUUGGAAAGUUUCGGCGGUUGGGGAUGGACUCGCGGCUUAUCAGCUUGUUGGUGGGGUAGUGGCUUACCAAGGCUUUGACGGGUAGCCGGCCUGAGAGGGUGACCGGCCACAUUGGGACUGAGAUACGGCCCAGACUCCUACGGGAGGCAGCAGUGGGGAAUAUUGCACAAUGGGCGGAAGCCUGAUGCAGCAACGCCGCGUGCGGGAUGACGGCCUUCGGGUUGUAAACCGCUUUCGCCUGUGACGAAGCGUGAGUGACGGUAAUGGGUAAAGAAGCACCGGCUAACUACGUG
rnacentral:rRNA from 1 species